GAUGAACGCUGGCGGCGUGCCUAACACAUGCAAGUCGAGCGAUUUACUUCGGUAAAGAGCGGCGGACGGGUGAGUAACGCGUGGGUAACCUGCCCUGUACACACGGAUAACAUACCGAAAGGUGUGCUAAUACGAGAUAAUAUGCUUUUAUCGCAUGGUAGAAGUAUCAAAGCUUUUGCGGUACAGGAUGGACCCGCGUCUGAUUAGCUAGUUGGUAAGGUAACGGCUUACCAAGGCGACGAUCAGUAGCCGACCUGAGAGGGUGAUCGGCCACAUUGGAACUGAGACACGGUCCAAACUCCUACGGGAGGCAGCAGUGGGGAAUAUUGCACAAUGGGCGAAAGCCUGAUGCAGCAACGCCGCGUGAGCGAUGAAGGCCUUCGGGUCGUAAAGCUCUGUCCUCAAGGAAGAUAAUGACGGUACUUGAGGAGGAAGCCCCGGCUAACUACGUGCCAGCAGCCGCCGUAA
rnacentral:rRNA from 1 species